UACGAAGGGUGCAAGCGUUAGUCGGAAUUACUGGGCGUAAAAGCGUGCGUAGGUGGUUUCUUAAGUCCGUUGUGAAAGCCCUGGGCUCAACCUGGGAACUGCAGUGGAUACUGAGAGGCUAGAGUGUGUCAGAGGAUGGUGGAAUUCCCGGUGUAGCGGUGAAAUGCGUAGAGAUCGGGAGGAACAUCAGUGGCGAAGGCGGCCAUCUGGGACAACACUGACGCUGAGGCACGAAAGCGUGGGGAGCAAACAGGG
rnacentral:rRNA from 1 species